GCCGAAAAUAAUUUUAAGUUCAUUAAAUAUCCACACAAUAUGGAUGUAAUGGGCGCUAGUGUUGACUCAAGAGUACGAAAUUUUAGGUACAAUAUUUAUGUCGAUCCAUCGGAAUUGGAUUCAAGAGUAGAUACCUACGCGUACAGAUCAUAAUUUAUUUUUAAAUACAUGAGUAACUAGGUACCUAUAUUGUAAAUGGUACAUUAAUAAUUUUAAUUUUAAUGGUUCCAUUACGUAAUAAUAAUUACUCAGUAUCGACCACUAACCGUUAUAAUAAGGAUAAAAUAUUAAUAAUAACUAAUUAAAAUAAUAAGUACGAGUACGUUAGCUAGCUCGUUCACCAUUAAUUAUCCUACUGAGCAUAAAACGCGUUGGAGUUUUGUUACAACUUGUUGUGUGUUUGAGUAAAAACAUGUUGAAAAUGUGGCUGUUUCUUGUAUUCCUCGCGCUACUGUCUAUAACGAAUAUCCCGACAGAUGCGGGUAUCAUCGAAUCGAACUUCGAACCGAGUUGGUCUUACUUGCAUUCACGUGGCCGUGAAUGCGCCUUUGGUCUGCAUUAUAUUCACGAUCGAUGCCUCAAUAUGCGAGAAUUUAUGGAGUACAUGUAUAAUGAUUACGCAUAUUAUUGAACGAAUCAACUGAAAGAUCGCGACGAUGGUGUUAACAUACUUUAACUGAAAUACCUAUCAAGUGAAGAUUUAACAUUAUGUGGUAUUUAGACAUAAGAAUUCAGUAUUUAUAGCAUUGGUAGAUAUAUCACUUUGUAUUUAAAACCUUAGCUAAAUAGAAAUAGAAUUCCUUUUCACUCAAAAAUUGUUACAACUUAAAAUGUAGAAAAUGUAACAUUUCUUACAUGUUCAACUUUAUAGUCCUUUAAUAAGGAUGAAAGUAGCUUGUAGUUGAUUCACAUAGAAUAAUUAAUACUAAUUUAUAAGUUUUUAAUAAAGUGUUUUAGUAAUCAGA